rnacentral:lncRNA from 1 species
AAGGUUAUAUGAUUAAGACCAAUGUGAAAAUAUCGAGAAAAAACAUGGUCUUGUAGGGCUAGGUUUAAACCAAAAUUUAUAGAAAGAUUAAAAGAUUCCCUAGGGUUAGCUAAAAGUUCAUUAUCUUCUUGAUUAAAAGACAGGACCUCAGCUAUAGAAAAGGGUUGGUUUUGACCUAUUGCAAUCAACUCUGGACACAGAUCAUAAUUAGGGGCAAAGAAAGGACUUGUUGUCUCCCAUGGUCUCUGGCUGGUCUUGGAAGGUGCAAAAAAUUCAAUAAUAGCUGUGGAAUUUGAGUUAUCCACAA